rnacentral:rRNA from 1 species
CAGUAGCCGCGGUAAUACGUAGGGUGCAAGCGUUAAUCGGAAUUACUGGGCGUAAAGCGUGCGCAGGCGGUUAUAUAAGACAGAUGUGAAAUCCCCGGGCUCAACCUGGGAACUGCAUUUGUGACUGUAUAGCUAGAGUACGGCAGAGGGGGAUGGAAUUCCGCGUGUAGCAGUGAAAUGCGUAGAUAUGCGGAGGAACACCGAUGGCGAAGGCAAUCCCCUGGGCCUGUACUGACGCUCAUGCACGAAAGCGUGGGGAGCAAACAGGAUUAGAUACCCCUGUAUCCCUGUCUCUUAUACC